CGAACGGGUGAGUAAUGCAUCGGAACGUGUCCGCUCGUGGGGGACAACCAGCCGAAAGGUUGGCUAAUACCGCAUGAGUUCUACGGAAGAAAGAGGGGGACCCGCAAGGGCCUCUCGCGAGCGGAGCGGCCGAUGACUGAUUAGCCUGUUGGUGAGGUAACGGCUCACCAAAGCAACGAUCAGUAGCUGGUCUGAGAGGACGACCAGCCACACUGGGACUGAGACACGGCCCAGACUCCUACGGAAGGCAGCAG
rnacentral:rRNA from 1 species